AUUGAACGUUGGCGGCAGGCUUAACACAUGCAAGUCGAACGAGAAAGCACCUUCGGGUGUGAGUAAAGUGGCGGACGGGUGAGUAACGCGUAGGAAUCUACCUAGUAGUGGGGGACAACUCGGGGAAACUCGAGCUAAUACCGCAUAUUCUCUUCGGAGGAAAGUGGGGGCUCUUCGGACCUCACGCUAUUAGAGGAGCCUGCGUUGGAUUAGCUUGUUGGUGAGGUAAAAGCUCACCAAGGCGACGAUCUAUAGCUGGUCUGAGAGGACGAUCAGCCACACUGGAACUGAGACACGGUCCAGACUCCUACGGGAGGCAGCAGUGGGGAAUAUUGGGCAAUGGGCGCAAGCCUGACCCAGCCAUGCCGCGUGUGUGAAGAAGGCCCUCGGGUUGUAAAGCACUUUCAGUAGCGAAGAAAAGCUUGAGGUUAAUACCCUCGAGUCUUGACGUUAACUACAGAAGAAGCACCGGCUAACUCCGUG
rnacentral:rRNA from 1 species